GAACGCUGGCGGCGUGCCUAACACAUGCAAGUCGAACGGACAAGGGGGAGCUUGCUCCCCUGCGUUAGUGGCGGACUGGUGAGUAACACGUAAGCAACCUGCCUAUCAGAGGGGAAUAACAGUGAGAAAUCAUUGCUAAUACCGCAUAAGCUGAUAGUAUCGCAUGAUACAGUCAGAAAAGGAGCAAUCCGCUGAUAGAUGGGCUUGCGUCUGAUUAGCUAGUUGGUGGGGUAAUGGCCUACCAAGGCGACGAUCAGUAGCCGAGCUGAGAGGCUCAACGGCCACAUUGGGACUGAGAUACGGCCCAGACUCCUACGGGAGGCAGCAGUCGGGAAUAUUGCGCAAUGGAGGAAACUCUGACGCAGUGACGCCGCGUAUAGGAAGAAGGUUUUCGGAUUGUAAGCUAUUGUCAUUAGGGAAGAAAAAGACUGUACCUAAGGAGGAAGCCCCGGCUAACUAUGUG
rnacentral:rRNA from 1 species